UUUUGUGUGUCUAUAUAGAUUAUAUUAUAAAAUCA
rnacentral:tRNA from 1 species